GGGAGCGGUCCACGCAUCUAUUACGUCAUAGUUGACAGUAUAAAGGCAAGAUUCAGGGAACUAAUGGAGUUUCUUUUUCUUCUCCCCUUCUGUCAUAGAAAGGUCAAGCUAGUUUUCAACAUUUUUAUGUAUGUCAUUCUCAAUAUAGCAACAGAAUCUCUUAUGGAAAACAAUGAUAUAAAAGGAAGACUGGAAAAAUGAAGAGAGCUACUUGGUUCUUGCAUAGAACUACAGAAGCCUGGGGAAUAGGGAAACAAUGGUUGCCUCCGAGAGAAGGAACUCAGAGGCACCACACUUAGUUUUCAAGGCCAUGUGCAAGCUAUCUCUGAGCAAAUGGGACAUUUUUGAACCUUUGUCAAGCAACAUGCUGCAGAUAACAAAAUGUACAUGCUGGGACUGAUGAAAUUCUGCAAAGGAACAAUGCAAUGAAUGUCAACAUAGGAUACUACUGCUUCUAAUGAGUAGAGAAUUCCACAAGACUGGCUGCCAUCUUGUCCAUGUAGCUUUUUUGGCUUGGAAAAGUGUCUCCUAUAUAUGUAACUGCACUUCAAAAAGAAAUAUUUGAAAGUACAGAAAGACAUAAAAUUAAAAGUGAGUUUUCCUAUCAACUCCUCCUGCUGCUUUCUUCCAUAAAACUAAAUACUAACCUUUCUAUUAAUCUAUCAACAAUAAAUAUUUCUACUGGCUUCCA
rnacentral:lncRNA from 1 species